rnacentral:rRNA from 1 species
AAGGCCUUAGGGUUGUAAACCUCUUUUAGCAGGGAAGAAGCGAAAGUGACGGUACCUGCAGAAAAAGCACCGGCUAACUACGUGCCAGCAGCCGCGGUAAUACGUAGGGUGCAAGCGUUGUCCGGAAUUAUUGGGCGUAAAGAGCUCGUAGGCGGUUUGUCACGUCUGCUGUGAAAUCCAAAAGCUCAACCUCUGACCUGCAGUGGGUACGGGCAAACUAGAGUGCGGUAGGGGAGAAUGGAAUUCCUGGUGUAGCGGUGGAAUGCGCAGAUAUCAGGAGGAACACCGAUGGCGAAGGCAGAUCUCUGGGCCGUUACUGACGCUGAGGAGCGAAAGCGUGGGGAGCGAACAGGAUUAGAUACCCUGGUAGUCACACCGUAGACGGUGGGUACUAGAUAUAGGCUUACAUUCCACGUAGUCCGUGUCGCACUACACAUUAAGUCCCCGCCUGGGGAGUACUGCCGCAAGGCU